UAGAACAGUACUUUGAAAGCAGUUAGGACAGUAAACUCUUCGCGUCUUUUAUCCCUCCCGAAGACCACAACAAGUAAAUAACAAUUGAGAGAGCCCAAGGUUUGACUUCUGACAUAGAGGAAUGAAGAUCACACAGCCACAGGAAGGGAACCUGAGUGCCCUGGAAGAGACUCAGCUACCAAGGUAACUACCUCCAGUGCCCAGGCCAACCCGACGGGCAGCAGGACUCCAUACCGCCACCAGGGGGCAGCUCUGCCGCGCUCCCACGUAGCAAGGACAACAGCUAGCCACUUUCUGGACCUGGGGAAGGGAGGAAUCUCACUUGAUACUGAGCGGCUGUUCUGCCCACCUCUGGACAGACAAGUUGAAGACGAUGCAAAUCUUGAGCAGAAAGACGGCUGUAAUUUAAUCCUCUAGCGUUAUUAAUACCUUGCGAAGAAAUCUUCCUGUAGUUCAUCUUCAAAUACGUUGCCACGCAGCAACACUCAGCGCUGCGAAAACCGUGGUGUUUAUUUAGAUAACGGCCGAGUACUCACAAAACUUAAACGUUCGAUGUAAAAAGUGGACAUCUUGGUAAGGACGCUUGUCUGCACCAACAAAGCGCUCGCUGCCUGAUUAACAGGAUUGAUAAAUGUUGGCGCAGGUUAAUCGGAGCCCAUUACAAUAAUUAGAUGGUCCAGCCAUACAUCAAACGAGAGGCAAUGAAAAAUAACGCGUUCGGACCAUGAGGCAUUCUCGUAGAUCUUUCAAAGACCUCAAAUAGACUUUACGGGCCAUUUAUAAGUGGAACUGGUGGUUCCAUUGGAGAGAACCCGAUUCAAGAGUUUAUUUGUAAGACUCUGUGAUGAAUACCAGUUGGAACAAGUCGUUUCAGGAAGUAAAAAAGUACUUGGUUGAUAAAAUGGCAUGCACAAGAGUAUCUGAGAUUGUUCCUCGAAAAAGCCACUGAAUUUUUACUUGGUUCUUGGCAAAUGGCCAUUUUAAUCAGAAAGUUAAACUUCUAAGGCCAAGUUCCCUCUUUGACAUAAAAGCAUCUCAGGAAACGCGAACAUCCAGAAAGCCAGACUGUGAGAAUGAUUUCGAGUUACACAAUCCUUCGGAUUUUCCACCAGCCAAAACAAUUAAUUUAGCUGGUGAUAAACACAGGUAUCCUUAAAACAGAAUCAUAUUUGAAUUAUUCCCACUCGCUUGCCACCUGGAAGAAAAAAAAACGAAUCGAGUGGAGCUGAAUUCCAUAUUUAUAAAUAAAUUCGUUUCUUUUCUCAAA